rnacentral:lncRNA from 1 species
AUUUGUUUUAUUCAAAAUUGAGAGAACUUGGUUAUUCGUCAUUAUUUUGGAAAUAAAAACAUAUUAACUUCAUAAUUCAAAUGACUUUAGAAAACUCAUUUGUAAACAUUAAUAAUUUUGAAAACUAAUUCUAAUAUUAUUAAAAACACAUUUUUUAGAAAUGCAACAUUGAUGGAUUCUAUUUUAAAAACUGAGUUUCAAGUGAAAUCUUAUCAAAUACUAUUUUAUGUAAAUUUUAAAAUUUAAUAUCAUGCAAGCAAUUUAUGCAAAUCAGAAUGAAAAAUCCCCAAAAUAAAGUCUCAUGCCACAAUACCAUAAUUUAACAUAAAAAGUCCCAAAUAGCAAUAAGUCCAUAAAAAUUCAAAUCAUAAAUGAAAGUCUAUAUUUAUUUAAAAACCAUUCUGAUAGCAUCACCGAUGACCGCAUCCGAGUCCUAACCACGAGGAUUAUCUGAAACACAUAAGUAAAGUGAUGAGCUUUAAAGAGCCCAAUGUGAGAUCAACACAAACAUAAUCAUAUACAUAACAAAAUAUCAAUCUCAACAUAUCAAUCAUCAUAAUAUUCAUAAAUUAUAACACUGAUUCUUAUGCAUGAACAUGCCAAUGCAUAUUUUAAAACGAUACACAUUUUAUAAAAUUUUCUACCCAUCUCCGCUACACAAUAGUAUCGAGUUUCCCAUGACCCGUCUAUCCAAUAACACACCAUUUCUGGAUAAGCCACCACAUAUAUGCUGAUAAAUGGCCACAUAACACAUUGUGAACAAACCACCACAAAAUUGCCGAUAAUAGCCACAUAAUCGUAGAUAAACUGCCACAUAACUUCUACCUUUCAACAGACCCACCCCAUGCAUGUGAUAUGGCAUUUUCAAAUUUAACACAUAUAAUCACUUUUUAUAUUUCUCAAUUUUACACAUUUGCAUGUAAACAUGCUCACUUUUUCAUAUAUCACAUAAUAUUCACUUUUUAUUCACUUUAGUAUGUUUUAAUAUAUUUUCAUAUUAAAUCAUGGAUCUCAUCACACACAUACACAUAUAUAUAACACAUAUUUAGAUCAUCACAUAUCAAUGAAGCCAUGUAUCACAUAACAUAGAGAUGAGAUAUACACACAUAUCAUCAUCACAUACAUCAAUACAUCACAAACCAUAGUUUUCAUGAACUAAUAAUUUUAAGAACACUUACUUAGAAUUUCCCUAUGAUGAGUUUUUCAAUUCCGCUUUGAGUACUUAGUGUACUCUCAAAUAAUUAUUUAAUAAUAUUUUAUUAAAAAUAAAAGUAACAUAUUACACUCAAAUCAAGGUUUAAAUCCAACAUAUUAUAUUGAAGAUCCGAUUGCCACAAUUCUAUUAGAAAAGGUUUUGCUUAGGUCUAAACCCGGUAGAUGAAUCCAUCGUAUCAAACAAGUAUUUAAGUUAUAGAUCUACCGGAUGUCUUAUUACUUAAAGAUUAAUCAUUAAAAUAAUUUUCACCAAUUACUUACCCUUAAAUCGAGACUUAGAUUCGAUGCCUUCGUUAUCACACUGAGGAUCUCUUGGAUUGGCAUUGUUUGGUCCUUCAAAGAAUAUAGGAAUAAAAUGUUAACACAUGAAAAACAAAUGUAUCUUAACACCAUUCGGCUAUGAGGAAAAACAAUAAAGAGGAAAGAAUGUUCCCAAACCCUUUGUGCACUUACCCUACUUAACAAUACUAUAAGAUCGUUGAUAAGUCUUAACGAAUAAGCGGAGAGGUUUAACAAUCUACAAAAAUAUAUGAUCGAUGAGUCUUGAGCACAAAAUAAUUAAAAUAAGAUAAUUGAAUCCUUAAAAGAUGGGAGAGAUCAAAAGGGAAAGAAAGAGGGGAAAAACUGAAUCCAGGCAGAAAACGGCAUCGACGACUGUGGUUUGGCGGUGGUCCAAUGAGGUGAGAGAAAAAAAUAUAAAAAGAGUCGAAGGGUUAGAUCACAAUAUUGAGAGAAAAGAGAAAAGAAAAAGAGUGGUGGAGAAAGGUUUUCCCACAGUAGUUUGUGGCGUUUCAUGACGGUGAUGGUGGCGAUGAAAGGCGGUGAUCGAAAGAAAAUAGGAGGAGAAAAGAACCUUGGACGAUGGCGUAGAAGUGGUGAAACUAUUGCUCGUGGUGGAGGAAUUUUAGAUGGUGGUUGAAAGUGGUAAUUGUUUGUCAAAAAGGAAAGAAAAUGAAAAAGGGAGAAAUGAAAAAAAAAUGAGAAUAUGGGAGCAAAUGAGUGGCAUGGAUGGCAAAAAGGUAGGGUAAGCUUGGUCAACUGUGACCAAGUUCAUUGAAUUAUAACAAAUAGGCAAGAAUGAAGUGAAAGGAAAGAGAGGGAACAUAAGAGCAUAAAGGGGAUCAUGUUUCCCAACUUAAGGCAAGUUUGACUCAAAAAAGAGGGAAAUGAAUCAAAUUAAACAUGGUAAUAAUGGGGUGGAUAGUAGACCUGACCAUGGGUUAAGCACCCGGCCCUGCUCGAAGGCCCACUCGAAAUGUGAGAGGGUUUGGGCAAAAAUAUAAACUCAAAAAAUUGGCUUGAACAAAUAAAAAAAGACCCGUUUAAAAAAUGGGUUAAGUCUCGGGUAAGGCAUUUUUGACACGAGCUUGGCCCGAAUUCACUAAAAGACAAAAAAAUCUUUUUUUAUUUAUUUAUUUUUGAAUGUUAUUUUCUUAUUAUUUUCUCCCUAUUUUGCUACUAUUUUACUAUUAUGUUGCUACUAUUUUAUUAUUAUUAUUUGAAUAUUGUAUAAAACUUAUUUUAUUGUUAAUUUUGUUAUUAUUUUAAAGGCAUUAGUUAAUUUUUUUAUUAUUUUAGAGACAUUUACUUAUUAAGUUGUAUUUAUCUUAGUGUUAUUUAAGUUUAUAUAUUUUUUAAAAUUUAUUUUCAAUUUGUUCGGAAUUAUUUAUUUUGAUAUUUUUAUUAUUUUUGAUUUAUUAUAUAUAUUUAAAAAUAAUAUAAAAAAUUAAUAUGGACGGGCCAGGUCGGGCUCGGCUUUUAGUAUUUUUAUUUGGGUCGGGCUUGGGCAAAAUUUUAAGCCCAUUUUUUAGGGCGAGCAGAGCCUAGGCCUAGUAAAUGGGCAUGAAUUUUUAGUUGAGCCCGACCCGAACUUAGCCCGGCCCAUGAGCAUCUCUAGUUGAGAGCAAAUGCAUUAUGCACAUGAAUAUUGUGUAAAAAAAUUAAAUAAAUAGAUGAAAGCAAAGGGACUUAAUCUUAAGACCUCUAAGAUAGCUUAAAAGCACUUAACUAUUUGACCACUUUACUUCCUUAUUUUAAUUCCUACCACAUUUAUUUUAAAAAUAUGGUGUGACCUUUGCUAGCUUUUGAGACAAAAUUACACCACCUAGAAAAUAAUGUGAGGAAUGAGAUUUGAACAUAAGUAAUCAUGAAUAGCUCCACCACUACACAACCACUAUACUUGAUAUUUAUUAAUAUCAAAAGAUCAUCUAAAAUAAAUAAAUAAAAUUUGGGCGAUCACUCUCUUGGUUCAUUAACCCAAUUUAUACUAACCCAGUUUUUGGGAUGUUACAAUAGCAUACUGCACAUGCAUAGUAUAAACUGUAAUAUACAUACAUGAUAUACAUACAUAUUUUAAACAAUGCUAAACAUAACAUACAUUAAACACAACAUACAUACUUAAAAAUAAUAUACAUAACAUGCAUAGUUAACAACAAAACAUACUUUUAUAAAGAAACAUACAUAACAUACAUACCUUUCACCUUCAAUCUCAAUUUCUUUAACAUACAAAACAUACAUAUAUAACAAACAAAAUAACAACACACAUAAUAGUAAUAUACAUAACAUACUUUUAUAAAGAAACAUACAUAACAUACAUACCUUUCACCUUCAAUCUCAAUCUCUUUAACCCUAAAAAAAAUCACUCUAGUCACGAAUGCCAACAAAAAGAAAAACAAAUUUGAAGUUAGAUAUAAUACAAACAAAAACAAAAAUUUGUCAAUAUCAAACUAGAAAAUUUUGUUUCCCCAAAUCCUAAACUAGAAAAUCAAAUGUUUCAAAAAAAAAUAGAAAAAAAUUGUUUCCCUAAACCCUAUACCAAAAAACCGAAUGUUCCUAAAAAAUUGUCAGUUUGUGAGAAUGAGUCAAAACAAAGAGGUUUUAUUUUUAAAAAAUAGACAACCAAAAGCCCAUCAAAGAUGAAAAAAGCUUUAUAUUAUGAAAAUAUAACAAUCUUAAUUCGAUAAUGAAAUAAAAAAACCCACAAAAAUAGAGUGAAAUACCUGUUAUCGAUAAUGAAAAUAUGGCAAUCUUGAUUCGAAUACAACAAAUAGUUGAGUAAAUCGAAAGGGAUGUCUAAUCGAUGAUGAAACAAGGUUUUUUACCAAUGAGAUGGUGAAGAAUUUCUUAGAUGGGUGGGUAAUCAAAAAGGUUUCACUUAAGAAUAGAAUUGGAACUGGUGAGAGGUUUCAAACAAAAUAUAGUAAUCGAAGGAAGAGUUUUUUAAAAUGGGAUUGCUAAAAUGUUUUGUUUUCCUUGGCUUUUGAGCUUCAACAAAAAACUCAACAGUUUCUUAAUCGAAAGGAUUUUUUCCCAAUCCAUUCAAUAACCGAUGGAAGAUGUUUAAUUGUUUUUAAUUUUUUCUUAUUUUAUUAAAUGAUGCAUUUAAUUUUUUUACCAAAGGUUUAGGUAAAAAAAAGAAACACGGGUCAAAAGGGGUGAUGGGAUUGCGACACGUGGUGAGCGCUGCCACGUCAGCAAAAUGUUAAUAAUGUUAGGCUCAAGUACCAAACCAGUGGAUGAAAAAAAGUUCAAGGACCAAUCUGGGACAAAAAAAAACCCAUAAGUACCAAUCUGGGAGAAGUGAACAAGUUUAUGUACUAAUUUUAUGUUUAACCCUUAAUUUAACUAUUAAAUGUCAUGUAGAAGUUUACGUGAUAUAAUUUAAAAUGAAAAUUUUUAGAACAUCAACUUUUAUAAUAUUUAUUUUUCUUUAAAUUUUCUAUUUUAAAUUAUGUCACAUAAAAUUUGACAUCUUAUUUAAUGGUUAAAUUAAUGAUUUACUACGAAAUAACCUUAUUGAUAUAAGGUCCAUAGUUGGAGAAUACAAUUAAAAUGUUUUAAAAUUUAAUGGCUAAUUUAAAAUGAGUGUUAAUACCUUUUCAGAGCUCAUGUGAUAUAAUUUAAAAUGAAAUAAGAGCUGACUGUUAAUACCUUUUUGAAGGGAGAUGCUAAAAAGAUACUUCGUAUCCCGCCAUUGUCGAAUAUUUUGUUGUGCACUCUGGACCAUUUGGGGAGACAAAUGCUAGAAUCCAUGAAAGGAAAAUUAGCACUGGUCAAGAAAUAGCGAUUUUUGUCAAUAAUUACAUAACUGAGCUAAACGUGAUUGAAAAAAGAAAUCCCUCAAAACCGUAGGAGCUGAUAAAAUGGAGUGGCCCACCUGGUUCUAUUGUCAAGAUCAAUUUUGAUGGUGCGUAUGAUGGGUGUCACUACAAAUCGGCAUCGGGUAUUGUGGCCAGAAAUGCUGAAGGAAUCGCUCUUCUUUCCUACUCAGAGACGCGUAAAGAGGUACCCUCCGCUUUCGCUGCCAAAGCAGUUGCAUGCCGUAAAGCAGUUCAAAUAGGUAUUGAAAUGCAGUAGCUGGAGAUCAUUAUUGAAGGGGACUCAUUAGCCAUCAUCAAAAAGUGUCAAUCAAAAAGUCAAGAUAGAUCACAAGUAGGAGUGUACAUUCAUGAUAUUCAUCAGAUAACAGACAGAUUCAACAAUAUUAUGUUCAAAUAUACUCCGAGAUCAGCAAAUGGUUUAGCCCAUAUACUAACAACAGAAUCUCUGUAGAAGUGGGAGGAGUUUUACCUGUUAAAGAACGUCCCUGGGUAUGCCGAGAAGCAAAAAGAUUGUUGACUGGAUGCGAGAACCAAAUUGAAAUAGGCCAGGAGAGGGGAAAGGUGAAAGGAAAGUAUCACAUAGCAGUUGAAAAGUGUUUUUUUUUUGAAGAACAGGCUUUCCUGAGAAUUGAAACCGAGAUGGGCAAUACAAAGAAUUCUGAUUGGGCAACUCUUCGGUGCUUUUACGGUUCUAGAUUGUUCUGUUUAUUUGAUUUCUGCUAAACUUUUUCGGGCCUUUUAGUUUUGGGCCAAAUUUCGUUGGUUAUGCUUACUGUCAAUUUUUUGAACUUAAGUUAA